AGAAGGCGCCCGGCCAUGUUCAGCCGGAGCUCCCGGAAAAGACUCUCCAGCCGCUCGGUGAGUGUCCCCCGCCCGAGCGGGGCCGAUCCCGGGUAUCCCGGGGCCCUCGCAAGCACCCCUGCCCAGGCUUUCUCCGCCGGGCUGACCGCGCACCUGUGGCCCCAGUUGACCGGACCGGGGCGGAUUGAGAGAGGCCAGCCAUGUAACGCCUGUGGUGAUCAGUGCCCUGGGUUCGCCCUGCAUAAAUGGAGG
rnacentral:lncRNA from 1 species